rnacentral:rRNA from 1 species
UGGGGAAUCUUCCGCAAUGGACGAAAGUCUGACGGAGCAACGCCGCGUGAGUGAUGACGGCCUUCGGGUUGUAAAGCUCUGUUAAUCGGGACGAAUGGUUCUUGUGCGAAUAGUGCAAGGAUUUGACGGUACCGGAAUAGAAAGCCACGGCUAACUACGUGCCAGCAGCCGCGGUAAUACGUAGGUGGCAAGCGUUGUCCGGAAUUAUGGGGCGUAAAGCGCGCGCAGGCGGCUUGGUCAGUCUGUCUUAAAAGUUCGGGGCUUAACCCCGUGAUGGGAUGGAAACUGCCAAUCUAGAGUAUCGGAGAGGAAAGUGGAAUUCCUAGUGUAGCGGUGAAAUGCGUAGAUAUUAGGAAGAACACCAGUGGCGAAGGCGACUUUCUGGACGAAAACUGACGCUGAGGCGCGAAAGCCAGGGGAGCGAACGGG